CUAAGUGCACACAGCCUCACGUACACACAACAACACCAAAUAAUCACAGCCUCACGAUUAGACCCGCUUAUUCUAAUCAACCGUCGACAUGUAACAACUAAUAUCCCAAAAAGUACGUUUAGUGAAUUGGAGGAGCGGACGAAAACUCUGCCGUUCGCGGCCGCAUUGGUUCAGCUGCUAGGGAAAAAACAAUACGCAACAAAUCAUCUUCCUAAUCUUCGGCGCACAAAUCGCUCCCCAACCCGAGGCCCGCCCGCCCGCGGCGGCGACUUCGAGUAGUCGCCCAUCGUGCAGACGCCGUCGUCGACACCUCCCCUGCCGGCUCAACGCUCCAGGUGCUCGGCCGCGCCCUGAACACAGGAUCAUCGACUCCUCUCCCACCCUCAUCGCAACUGUAGCCGACGCUGACGGCGCUCAUUAUAUCACCUGGGAGGACCUUGAAGUGCCGCACGGCGGUGUAGGCGUGCAGCUACUCUCCGACCCCGUGCGGCGACCGUCCAUAACUUGCCGCAGCGCUGGGAGCGGAUGAGGUCACACCGCGCGCAGGAUUGGAGCGGUGGUCGGACUUGGAUCUGGCGAGAUUGAUGUGGUUGUGUCCUGUGCCUCCCGGACGUCCGGAUACUUUCCCAUCCCUCCUGUGAAGAUGCCAGUGUAUGGAUUGUCAGACUUGUUCCAAAUCUGCACCUUUAAUGUCUCACUCUGAGCGAAUCAAGGAUCAGGUGACAUAGUUUCUACUGAAGCACUGUACAAGUCAAACCGAUGCUUAUUGCUCUUGUGACUGAACUAUAUAUUGAGUUAAUCCUUGACAAGAUACAUUUUCAGAUGUUGAUGUGAAUCAGGAUGGAAAAUUGAUAGAGCAGAGUGGUUGAACUUUUUCUCAAGAAAUCCAUCCUUUAUGAAGGUAAUGACUCUUCCUAUCUUAAGUUAACCUUAUAUAGUACCCAUGCAGUACAGCAUUUCAAGGUAAUACUGAUUUUGUUCUUGAUCAUAUGAACUGAAAACUGUUUUCCUUAAACAAUGAGAACACAUCAUUUCAUUAAAGUUAAAUGGAAAGAAAAUAAAAGCUCUUCCCUUUACACCAUGCUUAGAUGUUUUC